rnacentral:misc_RNA from 1 species
GAUGAAGAACGUAGCGAAAUGCGAUAAGUAAUGUGAAUUGCAGAAUUCAGUGAAUCAUCGAAUCUUUGAACGCACAUUGCGCCCGCCAGUAUUCUGGCGGGCAUGCCUGUCCGAGCGUCAUUUCAACCAUCAAGCCCCCGGGCUUGUGUUGGGGACCUGCGGCUGCCCGCGGGCCCCGAAAACCAGUGGCGGGCUCGCUGUCACACCGAGCGUAGUAGCAAUCACCUCGCUCAGGGCGUGCUGCGGGUUCCGGCCGUUAAACAGCCUUACAAAACCCAAGGUUGACCUCGGAUCAGGUAGGAAGACCCGCUGAACUUAAGCAUAUCAAUAAGCGGAGGA